rnacentral:rRNA from 1 species
GACGAACCGUGCGAACGUUAUUCGGAAUCACUGGGCUUAAAGCGCGUGUAGGCGGCCCGGCACGUCCGUCGCUGAAAGCCCCCGGCUCAACCGGGGAAGGGGCGCGGAUACGACCGGGCUGGAGGGGGGUAGGGGGCGCCGGAACUGCCGGUGGAGCGGUGAAAUGCGUUGAGAUCGGCAGGAACGCCCGUGGCGAAAGCGGGCGCCUGGACCCCGCCUGACGCUGAGACGCGAAAGCCAGGGGAGCGAACGGG